rnacentral:sRNA from 1 species
GAGCGGACCGCGGGCGCUGGGCGGGUCCGCGGCGCGGUCGGUCGGCGCCUAUUCUCGGGCUCUUUGGCGGACGAAGCUUCACAAAAGAUGUCUAAGGUGAAUCAGGUCUAGGAAAAUCGACUCUCAUAAACAGCCUAUUCCUAACUGAUCUCUACCCAGAAAGAGUCAUACCUGGAGCAGCAGUUUGUUUCUUUUCUAGAAAAAAUUGAAAGAACUGUCCAGAUUGAGGCUUCAACUGUUGAAAUUGAAGAGCGAGGGGUCAAGCUACGCCUGACAGUGGUAGAUACCCCUGGCUAUGGUGACGCUAUCAACUGCAGAGAUUGUUUUAAGACAAUUAUCUCCUAUAUUGAUGAGCAAUUUGAGAGGUACCUGCAUGACGAGAGCGGCUUGAACAGGAGGCACAUCAUUGAUAAUAGGGUGCAUUGUUGCUUUUACUUUAUUUCACCUUUUGGACAUGGACUUAAGCCCUUAGAUGUGGCGUUUAUGAAGGCAAUACACAACAAGGUGAAUAUUGUGCCUGUCAUUGCAAAAGCUGACACUCUCACUCUGAAGGAACGGGAGCGGCUGAAGAAAAGG